rnacentral:rRNA from 1 species
GAAUAUGGGGGGACCAUCCUCCAAGGCUAAAUACUCCUGACUGACCGAUAGUGAACCAGUACCGUGAGGGAAAGGCGAAAAGAACCCCGGCGAGGGGAGUGAAAAAGAACCUGAAACCGUGUACGUACAAGCAGUGGGAGCACGCUUAGGCGUGUGACUGCGUACCUUUUGUAUAAUGGGUCAGCGACUUAUAUUCUGUAGCAAGGUUAACCGAAUAGGGGAGCCGAAGGGAAACCGAGUCUUAACUGGGCGUUAAGUUGCAGGGUAUAGACCCGAAACCCGGUGAUCUAGCCAUGGGCAGGUUGAAGGUUGGGUAACACUAACUGGAGGACCGAACCGACUAAUGUUGAAAAAUUAGCGGAUGACUUGUGGCUGGGGGUGAAAGGCCAAUCAAACCGGGAGAUAGCUGGUUCUCCCCGAAAGCUAUUUAGGUAGCGCCUCGUGAAUUCAUCUCCGGGGGUAGAGCACUGUUUCGGCAAGGGGGUCAUCCCGACUUACCAACCCGAUGCAAACUGCGAAUACCGGAGAAUGUUAUCACGGGAGACACACGGCGGGUGCUAACGUCCGUCGUGAAGAGGGAAACAACCCAGACCGCCAGCUAAGGUCCCAAAGUCAUGGUUAAGUGGGAAACGAUGUGGGAAGGCCCAGACAGCCAGGAUGUUGGCUUAGAAGCAGCCAUCAUUUAAAGAAAGCGUAAUAGCUCACUGGUCGAGUCGGCCUGCGCGGAAGAUGUAACGGGGCUAAACCAUGCACCGAAGCUGCGGCAGCGACGCUUAUGCGUUGUUGGGUAGGGGAGCGUUCUGUAAGCCUGUGAAGGUGUGCUGUGAGGUAUGCUGGAGGUAUCAGAAGUGCGAAUGCUGACAUAAGUAACGAUAAAGCGGGUGAAAAGCCCGCUCGCCGGAAGACCAAGGGUUCCUGUCCAACGUUAAUCGGGGCAGGGUGAGUCGACCCCUAAGGCGAGGCCGAAAGGCGUAGUCGAUGGGAAACAGGUUAAUAUUCCUGUACUUGGUGUUACUGCGAAGGGGGGACGGAGAAGGCUAUGUUGGCCGGGCGACGGUUGUCCCGGUUUAAGCGUGUAGGCUGGUUUUCCAGGCAAAUCCGGAAAAUCAAGGCCGAGGCGUGAUGACGAGGCACUACGGUGCUGAAGCAACAAAUGCCCUGCUUCCAGGAAAAGCCUCUAAGCAUCAGGUAACAUCAAAUCGUACCCCAAACCGACACAGGUGGUCAGGUAGAGAAUACCAAGGCGCUUGAGAGAACUCGGGUGAAGGAACUAGGCAAAAUGGUGCCGUAACUUCGGGAGAAGGCACGCUGAUACGUAGGUGAAGCGACUUGCUCGUGGAGCUGAAAUCAGUCGAAGAUACCAGCUGGCUGCAACUGUUUAUUAAAAACACAGCACUGUGCAAACACGAAAGUGGACGUAUACGGUGUGACGCCUGCCCGGUGCCGGAAGGUUAAUUGAUGGGGUUAGCGCAAGCGAAGCUCUUGAUCGAAGCCCCGGUAAACGGCGGCCGUAACUAUAACGGUCCUAAGGUAGCGAAAUUCCUUGUCGGGUAAGUUCCGACCUGCACGAAUGGCGUAAUGAUGGCCAGGCUGUCUCCACCCGAGACUCAGUGAAAUUGAACUCGCUGUGAAGAUGCAGUGUACCCGCGGCAAGACGGAAAGACCCCGUGAACCUUUACUAUAGCUUGACACUGAACAUUGAGCCUUGAUGUGUAGGAUAGGUGGGAGGCUUUGAAGUGUGGACGCCAGUCUGCAUGGAGCCGACCUUGAAAUACCACCCUUUAAUGUUUGAUGUUCUAACGUGGACCCGUGAUCCGGGUUGCGGACAGUGUCUGGUGGGUAGUUUGACUGGGGCGGUCUCCUCCUAAAGAGUAACGGAGGAGCACGAAGGUUGGCUAAUCCUGGUCGGACAUCAGGAGGUUAGUGCAAUGGCAUAAGCCAGCUUGACUGCGAGCGUGACGGCGCGAGCAGGUGCGAAAGCAGGUCAUAGUGAUCCGGUGGUUCUGAAUGGAAGGGCCAUCGCUCAACGGAUAAAAGGUACUCCGGGGAUAACAGGCUGAUACCGCCCAAGAGUUCAUAUCGACGGCGGUGUUUGGCACCUCGAUGUCGGCUCAUCACAUCCUGGGGCUGAAGUAGGUCCCAAGGGUAUGGCUGUUCGCCAUUUAAAGUGGUACGCGAGCUGGGUUUAGAACGUCGUGAGACAGUUCGGUCCCUAUCUGCCGUGGGCGCUGGAGAACUGAGGGGGGCUGCUCCUAGUACGAGAGGACCGGAGUGGACGCAUCACUGGUGUUCGGGUUGUCAUGCCAAUGGCACUGCCCGGUAGCUAAAUGCGGAAGAGAUAAGUGCUGAAAGCAUCUAAGCACGAAACUUGCCCCGAGAUGAGUUCUCCCUGACCCUUUAAGGGUCCUGAAGGAACGUUGAAGACGACGACGUUGAUAGGCCGGGUGUGUAAGCGCAGCGAUGCGUUGAGCUAACCGGUACUAAUGAACCGUGAGGCUUAACCUUACAACGCCGAAG